UUUACAUGAUGAUUAUUCUUUAAGAAUUCUGCAAUUCCUACAAUCUCCUCUUUUGUGAGAUUGGAUGCUGACAGUUCUACACUUGAUCUGAUU
rnacentral:snoRNA from 1 species